rnacentral:rRNA from 1 species
UGAAUACGAGACGCUAAGGCGUCGAAGUAGUGUAUGUCAUACUUCCAAGAAAAGCUUGCACUGUCAUAGAUAAAAAACGCCUGUACCAUAACCGACACAGGUGGGUAGGUAGAGUAUACUAAGGGGCGCGAGAUAACUCUCUCUAAGGAACUCGGCAAAAUAACUCCGUAACUUCGGGAGAAGGAGUGCCUUAUUCGUAAGGUUGCAAUAACAAGAUCCAAGCAACUGUUUAUCAAAAACACAGGUCUCCGCUAAGUCGUAAGACGAUGUAUGGGGGCUGACGCCUGCCCAGUGCCAGAAGGUUAAAGAAGUUGGUUAGCAAUUGCGAAGCUGAUAACUGAAGCCCUGGUGAACGGCGGCCGUAACAAUAACGGUCCUAAGGUAGCGAAAUUCCUUGUCGGGUAAGUUCCGACCCGCACGAAAGGCGUAAUGAUUUGGAUACUGUCUCGGAGAGGGGCUCGGUGAAAUAGACUUGUCUGUGAAGAUGCGGACUACCUGCACCAGGACAGAAAGACCCUAUGAAGCUUUACUGUAACUUGAAAUUGAAAUUGGACUUUAUUCGCGCAGUAUAGGUGGGAGGCGUUGAUUAUAAUCUUGUGGGAUUAUUGGAGCCAUCAGUGAGAUACCACUCUUGUAAUGUUAGAUUUCUAACUUUGAAUCAUUAUCUGGUCAAAGAACAGUUUCAGGCGGGCAGUUUGACUGGGGCGGUCGCCUCCUAAACGGUAACGGAGGCGUACAAAGGUUUCCUCUGAACGGUUAGAAAUCGUAUCUAGAGUGUAAAGGCAUAAGGAAGCUUGACUGUGAGACCUACAAGUCGAGCAGGGACGAAAGUCGGUCUUAGUGAUCUGACGGUACUGAGUGGAAAGGCCGUCACUCAACGGAUAAAAGUUACUUUAAGGAUAACAGGCUGAUCUCCCCCAAGAGUUCACAUCGACGGGGAGGUUUGGCACCUCGAUGUCGGCUCAUCGCAUCCUGGGGCGGUAGUACGUCCCAAGGGUUGGGCUGUUCGCCCAUGAAAGCGGUACGCGAGCUGGGUUCAGAACGUCGUGAGACAGUUCAGUCCAUAUCCGGUGUAGGCGUUAGAAUAUUGAGAGGAGCCUUCUUUAGUACGAGAGGACCGAGAAGGACAUACCUCUGGUGUACCAGUUAUCGUGCCAACGGUAAACGCUGGGUAGCUAUGUAUGGAGUGGAUAACCGCUGAAAGCAUCUAAGUGGGAAGCCCACCUCAAGAUAAGUAUUCUCAGC